rnacentral:rRNA from 1 species
AGAGUUUGAUCAUGGCUCAGAUUGAACGCUGGCGGCAGGCUUAACACAUGCAAGUCGAGCGGUAACAGGGGAAGCUUGCUUCCCGCUGACGAGCGGCGGACGGGUGAGUAAUGCUUAGGAAUCUGCCCAGUAGUGGGGGAUAGCCCGGGGAAACCCGGAUUAAUACCGCAUACGUCCUACGGGAGAAAGCAGGGGAUCUUCGGGACCUUGCGCUAUUGGAUGAGCCUAAGUCGGAUUAGCUAGUUUGUGGGGUAAAGGCCUACCAAGGCGACGAUCCGUAGCUGGUCUGAGAGGAUGAUCAGCCACAUCGGGACUGAGACACGGCCCGAACUCCUACGGGAGGCAGCAGUGGGGAAUAUUGGACAAUGGGGGCAACCCUGAUCCAGCCAUGCCGCGUGUGUGAAGAAGGCUUUCGGGUUGUAAAGCACUUUCAGUAGGGAGGAAAACCUUAUGGUUAAUACCCAUGAGGCUUGACGUUACCUACAGAAGAAGCACCGGCUAACUCCGUGCCAGCAGCCGCGGUAAUACGGAGGGUGCAAGCGUUAAUCGGAAUUACUGGGCGUAAAGCGCGCGUAGGUGGUUUGGUAAGCGAGAUGUGAAAGCCCCGGGCUUAACCUGGGAACGGCAUUUCGAACUGUCAGACUAGAGUGUGGUAGAGGGUAGUGGAAUUUCCUGUGUAGCGGUGAAAUGCGUAGAUAUAGGAAGGAACACCAGUGGCGAAGGCGGCUACCUGGACCAACACUGACACUGAGGUG